GACGAACACUGGCGGCGUGCUUAACACAUGCAAGUCGAACGGUGAAGCGAGUGCUUGCACUCGUGGAUCAGUGGCGAACGGGUGAGUAACACGUGAGUAACCUGCCCAUCACUCUGGGAUAAGCACUGGAAACGGUGUCUAAUACUGGAUACGACCAACCCUUGCAUGGGGUGUUGGUGGAAAGAUUUAUCGGUGAUGGAUGGACUCGCGGCCUAUCAGCUUGUUGGCGGGGUAAUGGCCCACCAAGGCGACGACGGGUAGCCGGCCUGAGAGGGUGACCGGCCACACUGGGACUGAGACACGGCCCAGACUCCUACGGGAGGCAGCAGUGGGGAAUAUUGCACAAUGGGCGAAAGCCUGAUGCAGCGACGCCGCGUGAGGGAUGACGGCCUUCGGGUUGUAAACCUCUUUCAGCAGGGAAGAAGCGAAAGUGACGGUACCUGCAGAAGAAGCACCGGCUAACUACGUG
rnacentral:rRNA from 1 species